rnacentral:tRNA from 1 species
GGUCGUUUGCCAGAGUGGUUAAUGGGUGCCCCUGCUACUACGUCAGCACAGGGUAUGGUCUCCGACCGCGUGUGUUCGAAUCGCACAGCGACCG